rnacentral:rRNA from 1 species
CAGUAGCCGCGGUAAAACGGAGGGAGCUAGCGUUAUUCGGAAUUACUGGGCGUAAAGCGCACGUAGGCGGCUUUGUAAGUUAGAGGUGAAAGCCUGGAGCUCAACUCCAGAAUUGCCUUUAAGACUGCAUCGCUUGAAUCCAGGGGAGGUGAGUGGAAUUCCGAGUGUAGAGGUGAAAUUCGUAGAUAUUCGGAAGAACACCAGUGGCGAAGGCGGCUCACUGGACUGGUAUUGACGCUGAGGUGCGAAAGCGUGGGGAGCAAACAGGAUUAGAUACCCCUGUAGUCCCUGUCUCUUAUAC